rnacentral:rRNA from 1 species
GACGAACACUGGCGGCGUGCCUAAUACAUGCAAGUCGAGCGGACUUUCAAGAAGCUUGCUUUUUGAAAGUUAGCGGCGGACGGGUGAGUAACACGUGGGCAACCUGCCUGCAAGACGGGGAUAACUCCGGGAAACCGGGGCUAAUACCGGAUAAUAUCUUCCUUCGCAUGAAGGAAGGUUGAAAGGCGGCGCAAGCUGCCGCUUGCAGAUGGGCCCGCGGCGCAUUAGCUAGUUGGUGAGGUAACGGCUCACCAAGGCGACGAUGCGUAGCCGACCUGAGAGGGUGAUCGGCCACACUGGGACUGAGACACGGCCCAGACUCCUACGGGAGGCAGCAGUAGGGAAUCUUCCGCAAUGGACGAAAGUCUGACGGAGCAACGCCGCGUGAGCGAAGAAGGUCUUCGGAUCGUAAAGCUCUGUUGUCAGGGAAGAACAAGUACCGUUCGAACAGGGCGGUACCUUGACGGUACCUGACCAGAAAGCCACGGCUAACUACGUG